GGGACCAUGGGUUAGUGGUAUACUUCGAGCCUUGGGUGCUCGUGACCCCGGUUCGAAUCCGGGUGGUCCCA
rnacentral:tRNA from 3 species